rnacentral:tRNA from 1 species
GUGUUAUUAGUUCAGUUGGCAGAACGCUACAUUGUGGCUGUAGAGGUCAGCGGUUCGAAUCCGCUAUAACACCCA